rnacentral:snRNA from 1 species
UUUUAAAAAAUAAAAAUAAAAUUGUAACAAUAGAGAGAUUAGCAUGGUCCCUGCAUAAUGACACGAAAAUUCGUGAAGAGUUCCAUAUUUUA